rnacentral:rRNA from 1 species
GAAGUAGAUAGCUUAACCUUCGGGAGGGCGUUUACCACGGUGUGGUUCAUGACUGGGGUGAAGUCGUAACAAGGUAGCCCUAGGGGAACCUGGGGCUGGAUCACCUCCUUA